rnacentral:rRNA from 1 species
AGGUAAGCUACUAAGAGCGAAUGGUGGAUGCCUUGACUGGUAAAGGCGAUGAAGGACGUACUAGACUGCGAUAAGCUACGGGGAGCUGUCAAGAAGCUUUGAUCCGUAGAUUUCCGAAUGGGGCAACCCAAUGUAUAGAGAUAUACAUUACCUAUAUAGGAGCGAACGAGGGGAAUUGAAACAUCUUAGUACCCUCAGGAAAAGAAAUCAAUAGAGAUUGCGUCAGUAGCGGCGAGCGAAAGCGCAAGAGGGCAAACCCAGUGCUUGCACUGGGGGUUGUAGGACUGCAAUGUGCAAGAGGUAAGUUUAGCAGAACAUUCUGGAAAGUAUAACCAUAGAGGGUGAUAGUCCCGUAUGCGAAAAACAAACCUUAGCUAGCAGUAUCCUGAGUAGGGCGGGACACGAGGAAUCCUGUCUGAAUCCGGGUCGACCACGAUCCAACCCUAAAUACUAAUACCAGAUCGAUAGUGCACAAGUACCGUGAGGGAAAGGUGAAAAGAACUGAGGUGAUCAGAGUGAAAUAGAACCUGAAACCAUUUGCUUACAAUCAUUCAGAGCCCUAUGUAGCAAUACAGGGUGAUGGACUGCCUUUUGCAUAAUGAGCCUGCGAGUUGUGGUGUCUGGCAAGGUUAAGCAAACGCGAAGCCGUAGCGAAAGCGAGUCUGAAUAGGGCGCUUAGUCAGAUGCUGCAGACCCGAAACGAAGUGAUCUAUCCAUGAGCAAGUUGAAGCUAGUGUAAGAACUAGUGGAGGACUGAACCCAUAGGCGUUGAAAAGCCCCGGGAUGACUUGUGGAUAGGGGUGAAAGGCCAAUCAAACUUCGUGAUAGCUGGUUCUCUCCGAAAUAUAUUUAGGUAUAGCGUUGUGUCGUAAUAUAAGGGGGUAGAGCACUGAAUGGGCUAGGGCAUACACCAAUGUACCAAACCCUAUCAAACUCCGAAUACCUUAUAUGUAAUCACAGCAGUCAGGCGGCGAGUGAUAAAAUCCGUCGUCAAGAGGGAAACAACCCAGACUACCAGCUAAGGUCCCUAAAUCUUACUUAAGUGGAAAACGAUGUGAAGUUACUUAAACAACCAGGAGGUUGGCUUAGAAGCAGCCAUCCUUUAAAGAAAGCGUAAUAGCUCACUGGUCUAGUGAUUUUGCGCGGAAAAUAUAACGGGGCUAAAGUAAGUACCGAAGCUGUAGACUUGCACACAACUUAGAUUAUUUAAGUUUAGAAUAUGAGAAACUAAGUUAUAUGUUUAGUUAUAUUUUUACUGAUUUUUAUAGAGUAAAGAUAGAAAUAAAACUUAGUAAAAUCAGUAAAAAUAUUCUUAGACUAAAGUUAAGUAGUUUAAGUUGUGUGCAAGUGGUAGGAGAGCGUUCUAUUUGCGUCGAAGGUAUACCGGUAAGGAGUGCUGGAGCGAAUAGAAGUGAGCAUGCAGGCAUGAGUAGCGAUAAUUAAUGUGAGAAUCAUUAACGCCGUAAACCCAAGGUUUCCUACGCGAUGCUCGUCAUCGUAGGGUUAGUCGGGUCCUAAGUCGAGUCCGAAAGGGGUAGACGAUGGCAAAUUGGUUAAUAUUCCAAUACCAACAUUAGUGUGCGAUGGAAGGACGCUUAGGGCUAAGGGGGCUAGCGGAUGGAAGUGCU